rnacentral:rRNA from 1 species
UACGGGGGGUGCGAGCGUUGUCCGGAUUCACUGGGCGUAAAGGGCGCGCAGGCGGCUACGCACGUCCGUUGUGAAAUCGCUCGGCUCAACUGGGCGGGGUCAGCGGAUACGGCGUAGCUGGAGCAAGCUAGGGGGCAAUGGAAUUCCCGGUGUAGUGGUGGAAUGCGUAGAUAUCGGGAGGAACACCAGUGGCGAAGGCGGUUGCCUGGAGCUUUGCUGACGCUGAGGCGCGAAAGCGUGGGGAGCGAUCCGG